GCUUCGACGAGGGAUACGGAUAAAAUACAAGCGUAAAACCUCGUUCGUUGCAGUAUAUUUUGAACAAAUAAACAAUUUAUUAGGAAAAUACGUUCAAGAAACGUCUCGUGCUGUACUAGCCUAAUUCUGGCAAAUGUUAUUUACUUUCUUCACCUUCGUGUCGACGACUGUUGUUUGCUGAUGGCCAAAUCACGACAGCGGACAUUAAUUAUUCAAAAUAUGUUCUUAUAGCUUCACGUAUACGAUACGAAUGUAAGAUUAUUUAUUUUUUGUAUAUGUAGGUUCUAGUUGAAAGUGACAGCGACGAUGAAAAAAGUGCACACAACAUUGAAAUAUCCAGUUCACUACUAGCUCAAAUCCUGCGACAUAUCACUUGCUAGUAGCCCAGUCUAGUUUAACUUUGCCCAAUCAAGAAUCAUCUCCUGAAUCAGGCAUACUGGCAACACUGGUUCAUUUGAUAAUGUAAGUUUUUAAACUGGUAUUUUAGAUUUAUAUAGCCUCUGUCAAAUCAGGUUGAAAAUCAUGCAUGAAUUGCUUAUCAAUACACAAAGGACAUUUCAAGUUCCAGAUGAACAAAAUAUUAUUAAAGCUUUGAUGAGUGUUCUGCAACUAUGUUUCAACUUUAAAAUACUCUCAUCCUAGUUUGACCCAUAAUUAGCAAUUUUACUCAUCAAGGGGAGAGCACUGGUGGUUAAUGUGUUAACUAGCCUAUCUGCCCAUGUGUACAUAGUUAACCCAUUGAGUCGCAUUGUGCCCUAAUGCGGCCUAAUUUAUUAUUUUACUCUGCCUAUCGCAGGACAAUAUUAAGUGCAGAGCGCUGGCGCUUAAUGUGUUAACUAGCCUAUCUGCCCAGGUGUGUUGUUAACACAUUGAGUUGCAUUGUGCCCUAAUUUAUUAUUUUACUCUGUCUAAUGCCAGAUGAUUUCACUCAUUAAGGGGAGAGCACUGGUGCUUAAUGGGGUUAACUGGCCUAUCUGCCCAUGUGUGUUGUUAACACAUUGAGUCGCAUUGUGCCCUAAUUUAUUAUUUUACUCUGUCUAACACCAGAUGAUUUUACUCGUCAAGGUAAGGGCGCUGGUGCUUAAUGGGUUUAACUGGCCUAUUUGCCCGUGUUUAUAGUUAACCCAUUGAGUCGCAUUGCGACCUACUUUAUUUUUUUUACUCUGUCUUGAGAGGAGAACGCUGGUGCUUAAGGGGUUAAUAUUGAAAAUAUAGAUCAACAUUUGUCAAAACGCAUGACUCAUUUCUGUAAUAAUUAAGAUAUUAAUUAAAAUACCAAAUAUAAUGCCUUAUGGCUUAUUUCAAAUAGGGAGAUGCUAUGUCCAUUGAAACUUAGUGGAUUUGUUGUAGUACAUCAAAUAAAUGCUAGCCAUAAACAUAUUCAAGUCAAUCGAAGAGAAUGUAGAAUUGCGCUUUACAUAAAAUUCCCUAGUUAUUGUACAUUAAUGAGAAAAAAAAAAGCAUUUGAAAGGAAAUAUAUUGUUUUAAUUUUAUUUCUAUGGUUUGUACUAUGAUAUACAUGGGCUAUACACUCUUUGGGAACCCGCAGGGCUGUUGGCAGAGCAUUUCCAUGAUCUGGAACUUCAGUCCUAAACACGAUGUGUGGGUGCGAAGAUGUUGUGUAGGAACAGAACUGUACAGAUUAGAAAUAUGAUUACUGAUAUUUUCCAAAGAAAAACUAUUAAUAUAUAGAAGAGGAAAGAAAGAGGCAAUUUGAAAUUUAAAAAUGGUAGGCUUAUUAAGGAUGAAAUACAGAGAAAAACAGUAAUGCAGAACUACAUUCUCUUAAAUUGUCAAAAUUAAACGCUACCAAUCUUGGUCUCGUUUCAAACUUGAAUAACAAAAAGUCUAAAAAUAUAAAAACUAUAAGAACAGAUCAGCUAAGUCCAGUUAUAAAAUUAAAUGAUGAAGGAAAGCUAUCAUUUUAGGAAAGUGUUGUUUUGGGGUGUGUAAACUCAUGAGGUUACAUGUUUCUGGUGAAUCUGUGCUUGCUGCAGCAAAAAAUUAUUAAUCGUUUGUGAUAUAAUUCACAAGAUGUCUAUUUUAACCUGUGAGUUGUGGAAUUUGUUUUGUCUGACCAAGAUAUAAUAAAUACCACUAGUGACAUGAGCAUGUCCAAUUAAUAUUUAACUAGAAAUAAAUGCAUGCAGCAACCCCUUGCCUAUAUUUUCCAAACAUUGAUUUAACAUGAACUAUUAGCAAUUGGCCAGCACUGAACGCAGGCUCACGUUGUGUCAAGUGUUGUCAAGGCAACAUAAUGUCACAUAUUUUAAAUUUUUUUGAGUGAUUUUGCAAGUGUUCAUACCACAGAAUCUACCAUACAUAAUUUUAAACAAAUAGAUAGGUGAAGUAAUUCAAACAAAAUGAUUUUGAACUUUACUACUCUACUCUGUCGAACGCCUAUUCUACUCGUAAAGGGGAGAGCCCUGGUGCUUAAUGGGUUAAAAAAGAUCGUAUAGUUAUAUGUAUAUCUUUAUUUUUAGGAGAGUUUGUUGCGAGGCAGCAUAUAUAUUGAUUUUUCAAAAUAUUACUGUAUAUUGUUAUGUUAAACUUAAUAUUAGAAUGUUAGGGUUUGGAAUCCAAGUGAGAAUAUAUACAUUUUAAGACCUAACCAGGAACGACUGCGAAAAAUGCAGCACAAGGUCCUCUGGUAGGAAUCAAACCUACGGCCCUGCGAUUCCGAUGCAGCGCUCUAACCAACUGAGCUACAGAGGCCAGCCAUUAAGCUGUAACCGUAAGUUCAUGUAUAUAUAGGUAAUCGGGUGUGCGGGUUGUGAUAAGGUGGACUUAAUGACUUAGAUUCUGCACUUCACUUGGUGGAAUUAAUAUUAUAAUGAAUCCAAGUGAGAAUAUAUACAUUUUAAGACCUAACCAGGAACAACUGCGAAAAAUGCAGCACAAGGUCCUCUGGUAGGAAUCAAACCUACGGCCCUGCGAUUCCGGUGCAGCGUUCUGAGCUACAGAGGCCAGCUGUUAAGCUGUAACCGUAAGUUCAUGUAUAUAUAGGUAAUCGGGUGUGCGGGUUGUGAUAAGGUGGAUUUCAUCGUGAUUCUAAUAUUAAUUCCACCAAGUGAAGUGCAGAAUCUAAGUCAUGUUAUACUUAAUGCUUUUGGAAGAGUUAUAGGGGUCGGGUGUGAUAUACUUUUUCAGGUAUUUUGUGUCUGAUGUAUGUAAGAGCUUUAUUAAUGGGUUUCUUGGUGAGACCUUAUAUCUUAUGUGUCCUAUAACCCCCUGUAAUUGCGGAUUAUUGCAUACAUUCUAAUUGUGUUUUUUUUUGUAGGAGUCUGAAGAUGCAAAUGAUAUAAUUUCAAACUUAUCACAACCCAUAUUGUGGUCGUUGGCAUCGAACUUACUAGAAUACGACUAGAAACUGUCAAUCAUACGUUAUCGAGGGAAAGGAUGAAAGUUCCAUAACAAGCAACAGUUGUUUUGAUGCAAUUAUCGCCUUAUUGGCAAGUUUUUACAUCUUCAAUAUUGAGUACUGCCACACGAAGAGCAUCUUGUCUGCCUUGCAGACUAUAGUAGUGCAUGGGCAAGACAGAAAUGAGGGUCACAGCCCUCUUCAAUGACUUGUCAUGACUCAUGAGUAUUAGUACUACAGUAAUUUUACACUUUUUGAGAGUUAUGUUGACAUAUGCUAACCCAAGUUAAUGUUAUUGAUGGAAUGUGUGUAUUGUCUCACAUCUCACCGAACUGUGGUAAUGUAUUAGAAAUUAUUCGUAUUGCGUUCAUGUUAACAACCGCGCCUGCUAUUGCUAUCACAAUUUGAUUGCUCUUUAAAAUUAGAAUUGUAAACUUUCGGAGCCAUAUGGCAUAUAUGUACGAAUCUUUUGAUGGUUCCCACAUUUCGGUGAGAUCCAUAAUACUGACUACUGUGCAUGUAUAUUGUAAUUUUAGUUAUAGUAUUGUGUUUAUAAUACAGAAAUUGGUACAUUUAUCUCAACUUAUAUUGCAAUAAUUCAUUCCAAUCUUGGUCUGUUGGAGAAAUUGUAAUAAUUUAAUCAAGACCAAAUAAACCCCAAUAUUUUUGCC